AUUUAUAUAGUUUAGAGACAAACAUUACAUUUUCACUGUAAAGACAAAGACAUACUUUUAUAAAUA
rnacentral:tRNA from 1 species